rnacentral:rRNA from 1 species
GAUGGACGCUGGCGGCGUGCUUAACACAUGCAAGUCGAACGAAGCACUUUAUUCGAUUUUCUUCGGAGAUGAAGAUUUAGUGACUGAGUGGCGGACGGGUGAGUAACGCGUGGAUAACCUGCCUCACACUGGGGGAUAACAGUUAGAAAUGACUGCUAAUACCGCAUAAGCGCACAGUACCGCAUGGUAUGGUGUGAAAAACUCCGGUGGUGUGAGAUGGAUCCGCGUUUGAUUAGCCAGUUGGCGGGGUAACGGCCCACAAAAGCGACGAUCAAGGACGGGCCUGAGAGGGUGACCGGCCACAUUGGGACUGAGACACGGCCCAAACUCCUACGGGAGGCAGCAGUGGGGAAUAUUGCGCAAUGGGGGAAACCCUGACGCAGCGACGCCGCGGGAGCGAUGAAGUAUUUCGGUAUGUAAAGCGCUAUCAGCAGGGAAGAAUAAAUGACGGUACCUGACUAAGAAGCCCCGGCUAACUACGUGCCAGCCGCCGCCGUAA